rnacentral:rRNA from 1 species
AUGGUCAUGCCACAUUGAAAACCGGUUUUCGUCCGAUCACCGAAGUUAAGCAAUGUCAGUCAGUACUUGGGAGGGUGACCAUCUGGGGGUGCUGUAGGCU